GUGAAGAAAGAAAUUCAAGAUCUAAUUUCUUUCUGUAAAAGUAUCUCCAAACAUAAAUCUGAGAAUGAAAUAAGCAAUCGAUUUAAUUUGAAAGCCUAAAUCGUUUUCAUCGGUACUUUUUUUUGAAGGUUAAUCAUGCCAGGGGAAAAUUUGAUGAGAUUCAAUUUCAACAUUGAAUAGUUCAUCGUUGAAAGCGAUUAAAAAGUUAAAUGCAUGGUUUGUGAACAAAUGGGAAAGAACUGUGACAUAUUUUCAUGGAAUAACUUAUAACGAUGUUAAGAACUUUUGGAAUACCAGAAAGAAGAGAUUGGAAAGGAUGUUGCAGACACCAACGAUAUCAUAGGAAAACAAUGGAUAGUCCCCUGUCUUAGAGGUUAACUGCUAAACCAUCCUAUGCAAAUCGUACCAUUAUUAAGCAAGAGCUUGGCGUGUUUGAUAUUUUUGUCAGUCUGUGUAGACUAGAGUCGCAGGCUGACUAUCAUGAAUCUUGAAUGGUUGAAUGCAGCUGGCUAUGAAGCAAUUGCAAGUGAUGCUAUGGGAAAUUUGGAAGAAUGGGUUUGCUUGUAUGUUGCAUUACAAGGAAUGGUGCAGCUGAGUAAGUGAUGGUAGAACUCUGAAGUGGUGAUAUGGUGAAUAAAUAUGAAAUGCCGAUGGAAUUGCAAAGAUGAAAUCUGAAAUGUGUGAUGUUGGUGGUACUGAGGAGCAGGAAUUUAUGUUGUUGUUGGAUGGGUAGUGUUGCUGCAGAGAAGUGCAGCUAAGAUUGGAAAGCUACAUAAACGGAUAAAAAAUUUGAGUUGAAUGGUUGAGGUGCUCUAGUUGUUUGCAGCAGCAGGAUUAAGAGUGGUUGAGUGUUGGAGCUGGUGUUGGUAAUGAGUUUGGCUUGUAAACAGGUUGUAUUUUUGUAAUUUGUGCAUGU